rnacentral:rRNA from 1 species
GACGAACGCUGGCGGCGUGCUUAACACAUGCAAGUCGAACGAGGAGCGAUGGAAGCUUGCUUCUAUCAAUCUUAGUGGCGAACGGGUGAGUAACGCGUAAUCAACCUGCCCUUCAGAGGGGGACAACAGUUGGAAACGACUGCUAAUACCGCAUACGAUCUAAUCUCGGCAUCGAGGAUAGAUGAAAGGUGGCCUCUACAUGUAAGCUAUCACUGAAGGAGGGGAUUGCGUCUGAUUAGCUAGUUGGAGGGGUAACGGCCCACCAAGGCGAUGAUCAGUAGCCGGUCUGAGAGGAUGAACGGCCACAUUGGGACUGAGACACGGCCCAGACUCCUACGGGGGGCAGCAGUGGGGAAUCUUCCGCAAUGGACGAAAGUCUGACGGAGCAACGCCGCGUGAGUGAUGACGGCCUUCGGGUUGUAAAGCUCUGUUAAUCGGGACGAAAGGCCUUCUUGCGAAUAGUGAGAAGGAUUGACGGUACCGGAAUAGAAAGCCACGGCUAACUACGUG